GGUAGAGGUGGCAGGCGUUCCGAUGGUGAUGGCAGGCAUAGGGCAACGAGGUAAGGUGGCAGCCACCCGGGGUAAACGGAGGACAGCUAGUGGCUAGCAAAGGGCUGUACGUGGUGGCAUCAAGGAGAAGGGGUUAGCGUGGAGCCGAACUAAGGAGGCUGGGGCAGGGGUGUCAUGCCAUGGAUGAGCUCGGUGGCGAGUAGAUGGGGUUGAAGAGGCUGAAAAGAAGGCAAUUAGGGAAGAAGAAACAUCAGGACCACUGAAUCAAUGAUCGAUGUUCAAAAGUUUUGAGUGUUUUUCCUGGCAAAAACACCCAAUUGUUGUAUAGAUAGCCCCC
rnacentral:lncRNA from 1 species